CCCUUAGAUGUUCUGGGCCGCACACGCGCUACACUGAAGGAGGCAGCGUGUACUCCUGGAUCGAAAGAUUUGGGUAACCCGCGAAUCUCCUUCGUGCUAGGGAUUGAGGUUUGCAAUUAUCCUUCAUGAACGAGGAAUUCCCAGUAAGUGCAAGUCAUAAGCUUGCGCUGACUACGUCCCUGCCCUUUGUACACACCGCCCGUCGCUACUACCGAUUGAAUGAUUUAGUGAGGACUUCGGACUGGGACCGAUGCGGCUUUCGGGCUGCGUCGGUAUUCUGGAAAGAUGUCCAAACUGUAACAUUUAGAGGAAGUAAAANUCGUANCA
rnacentral:rRNA from 1 species